GCCACGCCCACCACAGAACCCGCUCAUUCAUUAGUCCAUAUGUGUGAGACGGAAGCUCUGUCAUUCAUUUUCAGAAGUAAAAUUAAACUUUUACAGCUUAACAUUUCUCAAACUGGAAACUGAGCGUAGCUUUCGGUUUUCCGAGAGAGAGCGGAACCUGCUCGGCUGUCACGAGACAAGUCAACGUCAGGACGAACUCUGUCGGCUGUGUUGACAUCAUGGAGCUGCUGUCUGGACUCCUGGUCGUCUCUGAGGCUUCUUGUUGACAUCAGGAUGCUGCGCUGCUCGGAGAGACAGACGGACAGACAGACAGACAGCAUCUUCCCUCUGCGUCUCUCACCCUGGCUGGUAGGUUGGCGAGUGAAGCGUGAAACCUCCUCCUCUGCCCCCGAGACACUCGCAGCCGCCGAGUCGCUGGACAGAAAAGGAACAUCAGACUGCAGGACGCGGUGUGAGGGACACCGACACGGUGACCUAACGACGACCACGUCAGACAGACUGAGUCACCUGAGCAGGCUGAGAAACGCCACACCAAUACGAAACAUCGUGAGUAUUUUAGGACUGUUGUUUCAGAGCAGCUGGAACAUAAACUGUCUCUGUACCGCCUCCAGCUGACUUUGAGCUGUUGUAGUGACACUAAAGAAAAUGUGACGCAUUUCCUCUUUAAAAAGAAAAACAUCCCCCCAAAACAAAACCAAAACAAACAAACAAAAAAAGUGAAACGAAAAGCGAAAAUUUAUACCAGACAUUUAUGGAUAAAUAUAAAAACUGCAACGAAUACUCUAAAAAUAUCAAGCAAAGCAAAGUCACUAAAGUCACUUUUAUGGCUGCCAAUACACCUGAAACUUCGUGAGAAAAUUCCAGCGACGCGGACUCGCGGCUCCGCGCCGUCCUUGUUUACGGCUCUGCCAGAGACUUUUUACACGCAAACUUAAGCGUAAUAAACGUGAUGAAGGUGUUCACCGACCUGGCGCUGGUGCAGUCCUGGUACAGCGUCUCGAAGUCCUUCCUGGAGAUGAGUUUGCAGCGGUUCACGCCGGGCUGGAUGGCGCCGAGCCCCCGCAGGACGC